rnacentral:rRNA from 1 species
AGCAUGUGCACGCCCGUCUUCUUAUCUUUCCACCUGUGCACCAAAUGUAGGCUUGGAUAACUCUCGCCCUCGGGCGGAUGCGAGGAUUGUCUUCGGACUCUCCUCGAAUUUCCAAGUCUAUGUCUUUCACAAACCCCAAUGAAAAACGAAGAAUGUAGUCAAUGGGCUUUCAGCCUAUAAAACAAUAUACAACUUUCAGCAACGGAUCUCUUGGCUCUCGCAUCGAUGAAGAACGCAGCGAAAUGCGAUAAGUAAUGUGAAUUGCAGAAUUCAGUGAAUCAUCGAAUCUUUGAACGCACCUUGCGCUCCUUGGUAUUCCGAGGAGCAUGCCUGUUUGAGUGUCAUUAAAUUCUCAACUCUACCAGUUUUCUGUGUAGAGCUUGGAUAUGGAGGUCGUGCAGAGCGCUCACGCGUCCUGCUCCUCUAAAAUGGAUUAGCGAGUUCACUGGACUCCGUCUAUUGGUGUGAUAAUUAUCUACGCCGUGGAUUGGGUUUAGACUUGCUUCUAACCGUCCGCAAGGACAACUCUUGACAAUUUGACCUCAAAUCAGGUAGGACUACCCGCUGAACUUAAGCAUAUCAAUAAGCGGAGGAAAAGAAACUAACAAGGAUUCCCCUAGUAACUGCGAGUGAAGCGGGAAAAGCUCAAAUUUAAAAUCUGGUGGUCUUUGGCCAUCCGAGUUGU